AUACGUAGGAUCCGAGCGUUGUCCGGAUUUACUGGGCGUAAAGGGUGCGUAGGCGGCGUGGUAAGUCUCAUGUGAAAUCUCCCGGCUCAACUGGGAGGGGUCAUGGGAUACUGCCAUGCUCGAGGGCAGUAGAGGAGAGCGGAAUUCCGGGAGUAGCGGUGAUAUGCGUAGAUACCCGGAGGAACACCCGUGGCGAAAGCGGCUCUCUAGGCUGUACCUGACGCUAAGGCACGAAAGCGUGGGGAGCAAACCGGAUUAGAAACCCCAGUAGUCC
rnacentral:rRNA from 1 species